GUCUACAGCCAUACCAUCCUAAACAUGCCUGAUCCCAUCUGAUCUCAGAAGCUAAGCAGGGUUGGACCUGGUUAGUA
rnacentral:rRNA from 1 species